GACUCACGCGGACAUAAUAAAAAGACGAGUUCCGUCCACGGUAAAGCGAAGGGUUCGGCCUGCGGUCGCCUAGCGCUAUAUAACGUUCAAGUCACACAUCCUAGUUAUACUGCCGUCUUCAGAGUGCCUUCUUGAUUCGAAAUGGCCGCCAUGGGACAUACUGCUGUGAUUUGCCUGUGUUUGGUUCUGAUGUUUAACCUUGCCUGUUCUCAAGAUAUCGGAGGCAUGUGCUGUGUAAUGGGAAUGCGAAAUCGGGGGCAAAACUGUGAAGGAAGAGCCCGGACCCUGAGCGAGCCUUGUAGAACCGGAUUCCUGAAUUGUUGCAAGGUAGGCAACAAUCAGCUGACACACGCGGACGCUCAGUGAGAAAGACGUUUCCGUGAUGAUCUGGGCAAAAGACAGCUGAGAACAGAGACUGCCAUGACACCAGCGAUAUGGAUUUAGAAAUGUAACCAAAGAAGAAUUAAGGAAAACGUGAUUCACAAACACCCCAUUUCCAUAGAUUAGAUCGACCUACUUUGGAUUGACCUAACUCCCUGGGGGUUCGCGCUGAAUAGC